AUUGAAGAAACAUUGACUGAAGUAGCAGAAAAUUUUAAGAAAAUCAGUCAACAUCAGCAAAAGAAUCUGUUGAAUUUGAAAGAAAAAAGAAAACAAAUUGAAAAAGAAAUUCAAAAGACCCGUACAACAAUCAACAACCAUCUGGACAAAUUACAAGGAGAUUUGAUAAAACAACUUAAUUCUAUUGAAGAAACCCAGAACUCGAAAAUUUGUCAGUUGUUGUCAUCGCUUGAACAGAGAGAAAAAGAAAUAACCAAAUACCAGCAAAACCUUGUAAGCAUUAAACAACACGCCUCAGACCUUCAGAUUUUUCUUUCACUUAAGCAAAUCGAACAAGACAUUAAUAUAAAUGAUAAAUUCCUACAAUCCGUAGUGGAAGGUGAGGAAUUGAAGCAAUGUCAUCUAGAAUAUAGAACCAACAUUGCUAUUCAAGAUAUCAUGUCCAAUAUCAAACGUUUUGGAGAAGUACAGAUUGAAACUAAACCAUAUGAAAUCGUUCUCAGCAGAAAGAAGACUACACAAGCACAGAUAAUGAUACCAAACGUUCAAACAAGAUCCAUUGAGAAUAUAAAGCUGGAGAUGCACAAAACAGCAAUAGAAACUAAUGGAAGAUGCGUCUACGGGUGUUGCCUGAUAUCAGAUGGUAGAAUGGCUUUUACUUACUACCAUGAUUGUGCAGUUAGAGUUUUCAGUGAUAAAGGAUUAAAAGACUUUGAGGUGAAGAUGCCGUGUAAAGUAGCCGAUAUACUGUAUAUUAGUAAGGACAAUACAUUAGUCGUAACAUCUGGUGGUUCACGUCAGCAUUGUAUUUUUAUUAUAAACGUGGAAAAAAACAAAUCACAAGAACAAUUUCACUAGAUUCGGAAAUUGCUGGUAUAGCACUUAGAGAAAAUGAAUUAAUAUAUUCGGGUCAUUGUAAAGGAAUACGAAUGAUUAAUCUUUUAGACGAGUCAAUUACUCAAAUAGUCAAGGUGAAAUGCCAGAUUGUUGUUACAUUGCAACAUUUCGGAACCAAAUAUAUCACACAACCUCGGUAACACAUACCGUUACUUGUUACGAUCAACAAGGUAAACCGCAAUGGACAUUCAAAAAUAAAAGCGUUCUGAAGUAUCCUCGUGGUAUUGAUGUAGAUAUGGAUGGUAAUGUGUAUGUGGUGGGGUUCAGGUCGAACAAUGUUGUAGUUGUCUCCCCUGACGGACAACACCAUCGAGAAGUAUUGACAGCAAGUAAUGGUCUAAUUUAUCCUAAUUCACUUUGUUAUGAUAAUACAAAAAAGAAGUUGCUGGUUGCUAACUAUUAUAAUGAGGCCCGACUGUAUGAUUUUAUUUGAAAAGUCUUUUUAAUUAUGUUUUAUCCUUAUUUUUAAUUCUGAUCGUCACAGCUAAACAGUUUUCGAUGUAUUGAUUUGUU
rnacentral:lncRNA from 1 species